rnacentral:rRNA from 1 species
UGGGGAAUAUUGGACAAUAGGGGCAACCCUGAUCCAGCAAUGCCGCGUGUGUGAAGAAGGUCUUCGGAUUGUAAAGCACUUUCGACGGGGACGAUGAUGACGGUACCCGUAGAAGAAGCCCCGGCUAACUUCGUG